rnacentral:rRNA from 1 species
UGGGGAAUAUUGGACAAUGGGCGAAAGCCUGAUCCAGCCAUGCCGCGUGUGUGAAGAAGGUCUUCGGAUUGUAAAGCACUUUAAGUUGGGAGGAAGGGCAGUAAGCGAAUACCUUGCUGUUUUGACGUUACCGACAGAAUAAGCACCGGCUAACUCUGUGCCAGCAGCCGCGGUAAUACAGAGGGUGCAAGCGUUAAUCGGAAUUACUGGGCGUAAAGCGCGCGUAGGUGGGUCGUUAAGUUGAAUGUGAAAGCCCCGGGCUCAACCUAGGAACUGCAACUAAAACUGGCGAGGUAGAGGAGGGCAGAGGGUGGAGGAAAUUCCUGUGUAGCGGUGAAAAGCGUAGAUAUAGGAAGGAACACCAGUGGCGAAGGCGACCACCUGGGCUCAUACUGACACUGGGGUGCGAAAGCGUGGGGAGCAAACAGG